UGGGGAAUAUUGCACAAUGGAGGGAACUCUGAUGCAGCGACGCCGCGUGAGUGAUGAAGGAAUUCGUUUCGUAAAACUCUGUUCUAUGGGAAGAAAAGGACUGUACCAUAGGAGAAAGCUCCGGCUAAAUACGUGCCAGCAGCCGCGGUAAUACGUAUGGAGCGAGCGUUGUCCGGAAUUAUUGGGCGUAAAGGGUGCGCAGGCGGCUUUACAAGUUGGAUGUGAAAUAUUGUGGCUCAACCACAAACGUGCAUCCAAAACUGCAAAGCUUGAGUUAAGGAGAGGUAAGUGGAAUUCCUGGUGUAGCGGUGGAAUGCGUAGAUAUCAGGAGGACUACCGGUGGCGAAGGCGACUUACUGGACUUAAACUGACGCUCAGGCACGAAAGCGUGGGGAGCAAACAGG
rnacentral:rRNA from 1 species